UACAGCUGCGUGGUGUCUGUUU
rnacentral:misc_RNA from 1 species